rnacentral:misc_RNA from 1 species
UAACAAGUGUUUUAUGGCACUUUUUAAAUCCAUAUCCACCUUGUGUGCAAUGUCGGUUGGUUCUCUUUGAAAAAAGAGGCCAGCCAAACAUCAACCCUAUCUUAACUCUUUGUCUGAAAAAUAUUAUGAAUAAACAAUUCAAAUA